CAUUUAAUUUACAUAAAAUAUAUGAAAUGAAAUAUUUGAAAAUUCAAGUCUAACGAGCUACAUUUAAUAAAACUCAAUGAAAACCUCAUGGAUCUGUGCUUUUUCAUGCAGCAAUGAAUUGUAAAAAAGCUGCGCCCGCCUACAAUUUUCUGAACAAACAGAAUUAUUCGAACCUGCUACAUAUUCAGAACUAAAGGCCACGGGCCUCAUACUGUCUAACCUAUUUGUGAUGAUGGGAGCGCCUCUACAAUGGCGAGACUCUUACUGUUAAAACCAUUUUCGACGACUUAAAAGCCUCUCGAGUUAGGGCUUCCGAUGAUACCAAUUGUGAUGAUGUCAUUUUUAAGGUGACGGGCCUCUACAGUUUAUUUUAACUGUAUUGAUUUAAGCCCCCAAAAAUAAUUAGCCUCAGACUGUACAUCUCAAAACCUAUGGGAUUAUUUAGAGGCAUCUAGGAUCGGGAAUGCCAGAAUAUCCAUUACCAAUUAUGAUGAUAAACGAACCUCUAGGCUUAGAAACUUCAGAUUUUCUAUUCCCGAUUAUGAUGAUUUGCGGAACUCUUAGCUUUAAAGCCUUAGACUUUCCGAUAUGAAUUUAUGUUGAUUUCCAGAUUUGUAAUAUGAUGUUAUUCUAAAUUUGUUAUCCUCAACCCCUGUAAGGUCGAUAGUCACGGGCUAUCCAUUAUAAAAUAUGAUGAUUAAAGGACCUAUAGAGUCAAGAAUCUCUGCGUGUCCAUUACCGAUUAUGACGGUUUAAAGGCCUGUGACGUCAGGAAUUUCAGACUGUCUAUUACUAAUUUUUGACGAUAGAUGCGAUGACCAUAACAGGAUGAGGAUGAGAAUUUCCGUCUGUUGAGUACAGAUCCUGAUGACUUACAUAUCUCUGAGGUCGAGAACCUCAAAGUGUGCACACCAAAUGUGAUGAUUUGAAGGCCUUUUAGGUCAAUAGAGUCCGACUAUCCAUUAUAGAUUACGAUGAUUAAAAGGAUUCUUGAUUCAUACCUCAAACUGCCUAUUACCGAUUUGUGAUGAUCAAUAAUACCCCAGAGACCUUUUGCUCUGGGAUCAAGAACUUGAGACACUACCAAAUAUGACAUAAAGGUCUCUAGGCUUCAUUUCAUUCAAAAAUGGAAUAAAGAAAACAUCCAGAAUGUAUAUUUUGUGUGUCAACAUGAUGUCGUGUUUUGCUUCCAUAUCCAUAUCAAGACUGGUAUUCAAGACUGGUAUUGAUU